rnacentral:tRNA from 1 species
UCCUUAGUAGCUCAGUGGUAGAGCGGUCAGCUGUUAAUUGACUGGUCGUAGGUUAAAUGAAUCAAAUCUCCCCAAGUAU